rnacentral:rRNA from 1 species
AACGAACGCUGGCGGCAGGCUUAACACAUGCAAGUCGAACGCAUCCUUCGGGGUGAGUGGCAGACGGGUGAGUAACGCGUGGGAACGUGCCCUUCAGUUCGGGAUAACCCAGGGAAACUUGGACUAAUACCGGAUACGUGCGAGAGCAGAAAGAUUUAUCGCUGAAGGAUCGGCCCGCGUCUGAUUAGCUAGUUGGUGGGGUAAUGGCCCACCAAGGCGACGAUCAGUAGCUGGCCUGAGAGGAUGAUCAGCCACAUUGGGACUGAGACACGGCCCAAACUCCUACGGGAGGCAGAAGUGGGGAAUAUUGGACAAUGGGCGCAAGCCUGAUCCAGCCAUGCCGCGUGAGUGAUGAAGGCCUUAGGGUUGUAAAGCUCUUUCGUCCGGGACGAUAAUGACGGUACCGGAAGAAGAAGCCCCGGCUAACUUCGUGCCAGCAGCCGCCGUAA